rnacentral:rRNA from 1 species
UACGAAGGGGGCUAGCGUUGUUCGGAAUUACUGGGCGUAAAGGGCGCGUAGGCGGCAUGGCAAGUCAGGUGUGAAAGCCCCGGGCUCAACUCGGGAACUGCAUCUGAACUGCUGAGUGCUUGGAGUCGUGGAGGGGUAGUGGAAUUCCCAGUGUAGCGGUGAAAUGCGUAGAUAUUGGGAGGAACACCGGUGGCGAAGGCGGCUACCUGGAC